AUUGAACGCUGGCGGAAUGCUUUACACAUGCAAGUCGAACGGUAGAGGGGGCAACCCCUCGAGAGUGGCGAACGGGUGAGUAAUAUAUCGGAACGUGCCCAGUCGUGGGGGAUAACGUAGCGAGAGUUACGCUAAUACCGCAUACGAUCUAAGGAUGAAAGCGGGGGAUCGCAAGAGCUCGCGCGAUUGGAGCGGCCGAUAUCAGAUUAGGUAGUUGGUGGGGUAAAGGCUCACCAAGCCAACGAUCUGUAGUUGGUCUGAGAGGACGACCAGCCACACUGGAACUGAGGCACGGUCCAGACUCCUACGGGAGGCAGCAGUGGGGAAUUUUGGACAAUGGACGCAAGUCUGAUCCAGCCAUUCCGCGUGCAGGAUGAAGGCCCUCGGGUUGUAAACUGCUUUUGUACGGAACGAAAAGGUCUCUCUUAAUACGGGGGACUCAUGACGGUACCGUAAGAAUAAGCACCGGCUAACUACGUGCCAGCAGCCGCCGUAACAC
rnacentral:rRNA from 1 species